UACGUAGGGCGCGAGCGUUGUCCGGAAUCAUUGGGCGUAAAGAGCUCGUAGGCGGCCGGUUGCGUCUGCUGUGAAAUCCCGGGGCUUAACCCCGGGAGGCGGGUGGAUACUGGCAAGCUCGAGUCCGGAAGAGGAGUGUGGAAUUCCUGGUGUAGCGGUGAAAUGCGCAGAUAUCAGGAGGAACACCAAUGGCGAAGGCAGCACUCUGGGACGUGACUGACGCUGAGACGCGAAAGCGUGGGGAGCAAACAGG
rnacentral:rRNA from 1 species